CUACGGACUUAAUUGGAUUGAACCUUGGUAUGGAAACUUACUAAGUGAUAACUUUCAAAUUCAGAGAAACCCUGGAAUUAAAAAUGGGCAAUCCUGAGCCAAAUCCCGUUUUCCGAAAACAGAGGUUCAGAAAGCGAGAAUAAAAAAGGAUAGGUGCAGAGACUCAACGGAAGUUGUUCUAACACUACCAUGUCUGCAUUGCAUUAGCAAAAGAAUCCUUCUG
rnacentral:ncRNA from 1 species